rnacentral:tRNA from 1 species
GGCCGGUUGGCUCGGUCAGUUGAGCAUGGCACUAACAACGCCAAGGUUGUGGGUUCAAUUCCCGUUCGGUCC